rnacentral:rRNA from 1 species
GCGGCGGCGGCGGGCCGAGGGAGGGGCAGCGCGGAGGCGGCGGGCCGAGGGAGGGGCUCGCGCUGCGGCGGCGGGACGAGGGAGGAGGUCACGCGGCGGCGGCGGGCCGAGGGAGGGGGUCGCGCGGCGGCUAGCCGGGGAGGGGUACGCUCGACGCCUGACGGGGUAGAUGGGAUCGCACGGUGGUGACCGGGGGAGUGGGUCGCGCAGCAGCUCGCGGGGGACCUACGGCGUUGAGACCGACGUGGUAGUACCACCUCCGCGCCGCGGCAGAAACUCUACGAGGUAGUCAACGAGGAGGAGGAGGACAAUGCGUGUUCGAGGUUAAGCAGCUCUAUGAGGUACCUCCUUAACUCCGAAGCGGUUCCUUGUUCUGACCAUUGAUCGCGUUUCCUCUUAUACAGCUCUCCACCGUGACGAUCUGAACGACUACACAUCAAUACCGAAUUUUUUCUACUUUUUUUAACAUAGAACAUACUAAGGUAUUCGACAUGUAUCGUUUAGAAGGGUACACCUAGUCAUGUUGAAUACAUGCCGGAACUCAAGUGUUUAGAAUAUCAUUAGAAACAUCAUGAAAAGCAUUGUGAUUCAUUUCGUUCUCAUCGGGAAAAAA